rnacentral:rRNA from 1 species
UACAGAGGUCCCAAGCGUUGUUCGGAUUCACUGGGCGUAAAGGGUGCGUAGGCGGUCAGGUAAGUCUGAUGUGAAAUCUCUGGGCUUAACCCAGAAAUGGCAUUGGAUACUAUUUGGCUUGAGAGUUGGAGGGGGGACUGGAAUUCCAGGUGUAGCGGUGAAAUGCGUAGAUAUCUGGAGGAACACCGGUGGCGAAGGCGACAUCCUGGACCGGUAUUGACGCUGAGGCGCGAAAGCCAGGGGAGCAAACGGGG